CCCAGACUCCUACGGGAGGCAGCAGUGGGGGAUAUUGCACAAUGGGGGGAACCCUGAUGCAGCGACGCCGCGUGGGUGAAGGAGCGUUUCGGCGCGUAAAGCCCUAUCGGCAGGGAAGAAGGAGGACGGUACCUGACUAAGAAGCCCCGGCUAACUACGUGCCAGCAGCCGCGGUAAUACGUAGGGGGCAAGCGUUAUCCGGAUUUACUGGGUGUAAAGGGGGCGCAGACGGCAGCGCAAGCCAGGAGUGAAAGCCCGGGGCCCAACCCCGGGACUGCUCUUGGAACUGCGCGGCUGGAGUGCAGGAGGGGCAGGCGGAAUUCCUGGUGUAGCGGUGAAAUGCGUAGAUAUCAGGAGGAACACCGGUGGCGAAGGCGGCCUGCUGGACUGCGACUGACGUUGGGGCCCGAAAGCGUGGGGAGCAAACAGGAUUAGAUACCCUAGUA
rnacentral:rRNA from 1 species